AGAGUGCCCCAAGGGCAAUGGCUAGGAAAAAUAAAUUUUUAGGUGAUAAGGUUAGAAAGUUGAUGUUCCAGCUCUGUUAGCUCAGUGCAACUCAUACAAUUAGUGGGCUUUGAGAUCGGCUGGGUUCUAGGCAACAAUUCAAUCAAGAACUCUACUUCACGUAGGGGAGGUAGACUAAGAAGUUCGAUGGGAAAGACAUCCGAAAAAUUACAAAUAAUUGGUAUGGUACACACAGCAGGAUCAACACCCAUAUUCCUGUUCAUUCAAUUGUUAAGAAAAUGAUAACAAUAACUUUUAUUUCUUUUUUGGGGAAUGUAAGGUUACAAUUUUACUUUCACAGUCUAUUAUAGCUCUAUACUUUUUCAAUUAGUCCAUUCCUAAUAUUAUAUUAAAUCCUAAAAAAUCUAACAGUAUCAAGUUUAUACAUACCUCUAUUCUUGAAGUUUUU
rnacentral:lncRNA from 1 species